AUUGAACGCUGGCGGCAUGCCUUACACAUGCAAGUCGAACGGUAACAGGUCUUCGGAUGCUGACGAGUGGCGAACGGGUGAGUAAUACAUCGGAACGUGCCUAGUAGUGGGGGAUAGCUACUCGAAAGAGUGGCUAAUACCGCAUGAGAUCUACGGAUGAAAGCCGGGGAUCGCAAGACCUGUUGCUACUAGAUCGUCCGAUGGCAGAUGAGGUAGUUGGUGGGAUAAAAGCUUACCAAGCCGACGAUCUGUAGCUGGUCUGAGAGGACGAUCAGCCACACUGGGACUGAGACACGGCCCAGACUCCUACGGGAGGCAGCAGUGGGGAAUUUUGGUCAAUGGACGCAAGUCUGAACCAGCCAUGCCGCGUGGAGGAUGAAGGUCCUCUGGAUUGUAAACUUCUUUUCUCUGGGGCGAAAACCUCUCAUUCUUGGGAGCUUGACAGUACCAGAGGAAUAAGCACCGGCUAACUCCGUGCCAGCAGCCGCCGUAACAC
rnacentral:rRNA from 1 species